rnacentral:misc_RNA from 1 species
GAUGAAGAACGUAGUGAAAUGCGAUAAGUAGUGUGAAUUGCAGAAUUCAGUGAAUCAUCGAAUCUUUGAACGCACAUUGCGCCCCUCGGUAUUCCGUGGGGCAUGCCUGUUCGAGCGUCAUUUACCCCUCAAGCACUGCUUGGUGUUGGGCGUCUGUCCCGCUUCGCGCGCGGACUCGCCCCAAAGGUAUUGGCAGCGGUCGUGCCAGCUUCUCGCGCAGCACAUUGCGCUUCUCGAGGCGGUCGAUCGGCGUCCACGAAGCUCACCUCCACCGUUUGACCUCGGAUCAGGCAGGGAUACCCGCUGAACUUAAGCAUAUCAAUAAGCGGAGGA